UACGGAGGGUGCAAGCGUUGUUCGGAUUUACUGGGCGUAAAGCGCGCGCAGGUGGGUGAACAAGUCGGAAGUGAAAUCUUGAGGCUCAACCUCGAGGCUGCUCCCGAAACUGUUCGCCUAGGGACUGGUAGAGGCUGGUAGAAUUCCCGGUGUAGCGGUGGAAUGCGUAGAGAUCGGGAAGAACAUCAGUGGCGAAGGCGGUCUGCUGGGCCGUUGCUGACGCUGAGGCGCGACAGCGUGGGGAGCAAACAGG
rnacentral:rRNA from 1 species